ACUUCGGAAGGGAUGUAUUUAUUAGAUUAAAAACCAAUGCCCUUCGGGGCUCCUUGGUGAUUCAUGAUAACUCUUCGAAUCGCAUGGCCUUGUGCCGGCGAUGGUUCAUUCAAAUUUCUUCCUUAUCAACUUUCGAUGUUUGGGUAUUGGCCAAACAUGGUUGCAACGGGUAACGGAGGGUUAGGGCUCGACCCCGGAGAAGGAGCCUGAGAAACGGCUACUACAUCCAAGGAAGGCAGCAGGCGCGCAAUUACCCAAUCCCGACACGGGGAGGUAGUGACAAUAAAUACUGAUACAGGGCUCUUUUGGGUCUUGUAAUUGGAAUGAGUACAAUUUAAAUCCCUUAACGAGGAACAAUUGGAGGGCAAGUCUGGUGCCAGCAGCCGCGGUAAUUCCAGCUCCAAUAGCGUAUAUUAAAGUUGUUGUGGUUAAAAAGCUCGUAGUUGAACCUUGGGCCUGGCUGGCCGGUCCGCCUCACCGCGUGUACUGGUCCGGCCGGGCCUUUCCCUCUGUGGAACCCCAUGCCCUUCACUGGGUGUGGCGGGGAAACAGGACUUUUACUUUGAAAAAAUUAGAGUGCUCCAGGCAGGCCUAUGCUCGAAUACAUUAGCAUGGAAUAAUAGAAUAGGACGUGUGGUUCUAUUUUGUUGGUUUCUAGGACCGCCGUAAUGAUUAAUAGGGACAGUCGGGGGCAUCAGUAUUCAAUUGUCAGAGGUGAAAUUCUUGGAUUUAUUGAAGACUAACUACUGCGAAAGCAUUUGCCAAGGAUGUUUUCAUUAAUCAGGAACGAAAGUUAGGGGAUCGAAGACGAUCAGAUACCGUCGUAGUCUUAACCAUAAACUAUGCCGACUAGGGAUCGGACGAUGUUAUUUUUUGACUCGUUCGGCACCUUACGAGAAAUCAAAGUGCUUGGGCUCCAGGGGGAGUAUGGUCGCAACGCUGAAACUUAAAGAAAUUGACGGAAGGGCACCACCAGGGGUGGAGCCUGCGGCUUAAUUUGACCCAACACGGGGAAACUCACCAGGUCCAGACACAAUGAGGAUUGACAGAUUGAGAGCUCUUUCUUGAUUUUGUGGGUGGUGGUGCAUGGCCGUUCUUAGUUGGUGGAGUGAUUUGUCUGCUUAAUUGCGAUAACGAACGAGACCUUAACCUGCUAAAUAGCCCGUAUUGCUUUGGCAGUACGCUGGCUUCUUAGAGGGACUAUCGGCUCAAGCCGAUGGAAGUUUGAGGCAAUAACAGGUCUGUGAUCCCUUAGAUGUUCUGGGCCGCACGCGCGCUACACUGACGGAGCCAGCGAGUUCUCCCUUGGCCGGAAGGUCCGGGUAAUCUUGUUAAACUCCGUCGUGCUGGGGAUAGAGCAUUGCAAUUAUUGCUCUUCAACGAGGAAUCCCUAGUAAGCGCAAGUCAUCAGCUUGCGUUGAUUACGUCCCUGCCCUUUGUACACACCGCCCGUCGCUACUACCGAUUGAAUGGCUCAGUGAGGCGUCCGGACUGGCCCAGAGAGGUGGGCAACUACCCCUCAGGGCCGGAAAGCUCUCCAAACUCGGUCAUUUAGAGGAAGUAAAAGUCGUAACAAAGUC
rnacentral:rRNA from 1 species